AAAUAAUCUAACAAGACCACGAUAAAUAGUAAACACGGUGUCACCUGAAUCACCCUAUUAAUAACAUUUUCUUCAUUUUUGGUUCCAUUCGAAUAGACAACUUCAAGGAAACGCAUUUUUGACAAAUUCGAAGUUGGUUACAUUCUGCCGUGGGCAGUUAUUUCUGGAAUGGCCAAAAUUGAUACCGCAGGUGUAAAAAUGACACGCCGUAUGAACUCGAUGAAAGGGGUCGAAUUGGCAUCGAUUACUCCGAAAGGACAUACUCCAUUCUGAUAACAGAGCUUUCGAAUGGUGAAAUACCGGAAUCACAGAAGUCCCGGCUGUCUCCCAGGCAUUUUUAUUAAUACAAUCACGCGAUUCAAUUUCUUUUGACGUUUUGAAACGCGCGUCGCUUUUGGGAUAUCUCACAAGAGCGACCAAUCCCUUUUUUCGCAUACGGGCUCAUACGGGCGAUAGCCACGCGCGAUAUGUCGAUAUCGCGAAAAUGAUUUCGAAACGAAUGAGCUACAACAAUCGCCCAGCACACGCUUGAAACCAUUUUCAACAAUUUCGGACUCGUUUGUCAGCACUACUCCUCCGAAUGUGUGCACUUGAUGGAUAUAUCGAUCACGCGAAAUGAACACUUCACACGGUGGCAGCGCGUGCUCCCGUUGUGAAGCACAAUAUUCUGUAUUAUAGACAGGGACGAAGUAACCAUUCCCGUGUUUAAAAGUUGUAAAUUAUUGAUUUGCAACUCGCGUUGAUAAUGCACGUACUUUUUAGGAAAAUUACUUACCAGUGCUCCUACCGAUCCUCGUGUCUAUCGAAUUUGCUCGAUGGUGUGAAUGUUUAUCUGAAAGAAACAAGGAGGUUGAAUUAGUUUAUUGUAAAAGUUUCUCUUAUAAAGAGACGUAAGAUGUGAGAAGAAACAUUGCAAGGUUGGCUCGAUUUUUAUAUUUGGUUCCUUCUCCCUCCAUGAUGGAUAGUUUUCGAUUUACUCUCGUUUCAGGUUAUUUAAAUUGUUAUUCCUAGAUUAUAGAUUUUAUGCAUUUAUGGUGUAGAUUUACGAACAUGUAACAUAUAUGCAAAACAAAGGAAGAGUAUAAGCUCGUCCGUAAACUAAAAUAUAAAUAUUCUUAUAUUAAUCUGCAUACGUAUUGUAUAUGAUUAAUAUAUUCUCUAUAAAUGUAUAAAAUGCGCAGUUCAGUUAUUGGUAGCUGUGUUAUCUUAUCAAGCAUUAUUUUAUCGGUCUAAUAAUGAAAUUGUCACGGAAUUAUAGACGCAAUUCAUUAUAUAUUUAAUAAAGCGAACUGAUUUGUAUCACAAAAAGAAAUGACAUUCGUUUGAAAAACGUUUAAAAAAAAUA